rnacentral:tRNA from 1 species
GACCACAUAGCUCAGUUGGCAGAGCAUUGGGCUAGUAUUCCAAAGGUCGUAGGUUCGAUUCCCACCGUGGCUA